UACGAAGGGGGCUAGCGUUGUUCGGAAUCACUGGGCGUAAAGCGCACGUAGGCGGAUCGUUAAGUCGAGGGUGAAAUCCCAGGGCUCAACCCUGGAACUGCCUUCGAUACUAGCGAUCUUCGAGUCCGGGAGAGGUGAGUGGAACUCCGAGUGUAGAGGUGAAAUUCGUAGAUAUUCGGAAGAACACCAGUGGCGAAGGCGGCUCACUGGCCCGGUACUGACGCUGAGGUGCGAAAGCGUGGGGAGCAAACA
rnacentral:rRNA from 1 species